CCCUUAGAUGUUCUGGGCUGCACGCGCGCUACACUGUUCGACGCAGCGAGUCUUAACCUUGACCGAAAGGUUUGGGUAAUCUUCAGCAAAGUCGAACGUGAUGGGGAUCGAUCAUUGCAAUUAUUGAUCGUGAACGAGGAAUUCCUAGUAAGUGCAAGUCAUCAGCUUGCGCUGAUUACGUCCCUGCCCUUUGUACACACCGCCCGUCGCUACUACCGAUUGAAUGGUUUAGUGAGAUCUCUGGAUUGACGCUGGCUAGGGGGCGACCCUUGGCCAGACUGUUGAGAAACUGCUCAAACUUGAUCAUUUAGAGGAAGUAAAAGUCGUAACA
rnacentral:rRNA from 1 species